rnacentral:lncRNA from 1 species
CUGCGGGAGGUGGCAGAAGGAUCCACCGCGUUCCCAGGUCUGUGUUGUCUCUGGUCCCCACGAGCGCAGCUUUGAGCGAGCAGCUGCCCCGGGCCGGUUCCUGAAGGAAAAGGGCAAAUUUUAGCCAUUUCCACACAAAACUACAGAACAGAGAUGGUGCAGUUUCUGUGCACACAGCAAACGUGGCAGAAACAGCUGCUGAGCAAGCCGCCUGAAGUCACCAAGCUGCUGGCAACAAGGUCACAGUAAAGCAGAGAAGUCACCUGAGGAGCACGGACACCCCAGCAAAACUGGGUUUGCACAGCCAAGAGACCACGAAGGGCCCUCUUAAAAGACGCUGGUACCUGCUGCCGUGCAGUCUGACCGGGCUGUUUCGUUACCUCCUGCUGCUCCUCGUCCAAAGGCGGCUUGCAUCAUUGCAGACCUUUCACACACCACCGGCCGCAGCGAUCGGCUUCUGAUUGCCACCAAAUUGUCCCGUCGCUCUGACAUCAGGGAAUUCGGGCGCUUUGAAGCGUUUCUGGCCCCCCCGUCCUCCUA